GAGCAAUCCACUGGGCUGCUUACAUGGGGCACAUUGAGGUGGUGAAACUGCUGGCCUCUCAUGGAUCAGAGGUGUCCUGUAAAAACAAGAAGGCCUACACCCCUCUCCACUCUGCAGCCUCCAGUGGAAUGAUCAGUGUGGUCAAGUACCUCCUGGACCUUGGUGUGGAUAUAAAUUAUCCCAAUGGGUACGGUAACACCCCC